AUGGUUGCAGCUGCCAUUACCUCUGGACUACACAUGGAGGCUAACACUGGUACAGGAGUCUGUUGGAAAACCCAGUAUCUCUCAGAUCCUCUGAUUUUGCAGCAUCUGCAGGCUUUUGGGGAAGCCACUAUUCGUGCUGUUAUGAGGCUGCUAAAACGUCUAUGUGGUGGCUUCAGUGAAAGAAAAUGAUGAUCGCCAUUGAUGUAAAAAGGAAAACAACUAUGAUAACUUCCUGUCUUUGAUGAAAUGCUGAAUUACCUUUGCCAUAUCUCCCUCCAAGGCCUUAAAAUACUGGUCCUCUUCAAGAACUGUUGCUGGAAAUGUUGGGGGUGAAUCAUUGAGCAGGGUAGUGAGACAACCACAAGGCCAAGCCUUCGCCUACUCUGAUGCAUGGUUGGACAUUGAUUUGGAGACCCAAGACAGAAACUCGAGCCAAAGGGAAUACUUCCCUAGAAAGUAGAAAAUCUACCUAAUUGACUAACUAUUGAAUAACUUGUAUUGCCAGAAUUUGUUUGCUCCUUAUUCCUGCAAAGCACCUCUGUGCUUCUGUUAUAGAUGCAAUAUAAACAUGUUUUUAUAAGAAUAAAGCAUUCUUGUAUCAAAUUCCUCACUUCCUCAUUCUAACAGUGUGGAUAAUUCACUUAGUUUUAUACCUUCUAUUAACAAUUAAAGUUAUUGAUAUGUAUGAAUGGUAGUAGCCAUUGUUCAUAAUGAUUUCAGUCCUAUAUCUCUGUUCAAUUGUCUGUGCAGAUGUUUUGCUUCAGGAAAACUAAACAGAUGUUCCCAAAUGUCCAAUGAGGUAGGAAAAACCUCUUGGAUUAACAUUAGAGAACAAUUGAGAGAAGGAAAAAAAAAAGAUAUUGAAAAGUCAUGAUCUAAACUUAUAUAAAUGGGCUUCCAAACUUUCCUGCAAUGCAGUUUACAGAACGUGUUGGCUGACUCAAGCUUAAGAAAGCAAUACCUGAAGUAAAAUUCCUCAAAAGCCUAAUCCAAUUCCUACUAUGCA